CGAGAACAGCCUGUGGCAACAGAAUGAAGUGAACAGAGAUCAAAACGUGGAGUACAAGGGGACCGUCUGGCACAAAGACUGCUUCACCUGUAGUAACUGCAAGCAAGUCAUCGGGACUGGAAGCUUCUUCCCUAAAGGGGAGGACUUCUACUGCGUGACUUGCCAUGAGACCAAGUUUGCCAAGCAUUGCGUGAAGUGCAACAAGGCCAUCACAUCUGGAGGAAUCACUUACCAGGAUCAGCCCUGGCAUGCCGAUUGCUUUGUGUGUGUUACCUGCUCUAAGAAGCUGGCUGGGCAGCGUUUCACCGCUGUGGAGGACCAGUAUUACUGCGUGGAUUGCUACAAGAACUUUGUGGCCAAGAAGUGUGCUGGAUGCAAGAACCCCAUCACUGGGAAAAGGACUGUGUCAAGAGUGAGCCACCCAGUCUCUAAAGCUAGGAAGCCCCCAGUGUGCCACGGGAAACGCUUGCCUCUCACCCUGUUUC
rnacentral:sRNA from 1 species